rnacentral:rRNA from 1 species
UAACACGGAAGGUGCAAGCGUUGUUCGGAUUUACUGGGCUUAAAGAGCGUGUAGGCGGAAUGGUAGGUGUCAAGUGAAAUCCCUCGGCUCAACCGAGGAACUGCUAGGCAAACCCCCAUUCUUGAGACAGGUAGAGGCGACUGGAACGUUCGGUGGAGCGGUGAAAUGCGUAGAGAUCGAACGGAACACCUGUGGCGAAAGCGAGUCGCUGGGCCUGUUCUGACGCUGAGACGCGAAAGCGUGGGUAGCAAACAGGAUUAGAUACCCUGGUAGUCCACGCCGUAAACGAUGCGUACGUGGUACGGGAACCUCUGACGGUGACCGUGCCGAAGCGAAAGCGAUGAGUACGCCGCCUGGGGAGUACGGCCGCAAGGCUA